AUUUUGAAGUUGUUUUCCUUUCUUAAAAGCACGGCCUCUUCUUAAAAUCACGGCCUAAAGGCAUCCUUCCACAUCGGCAAAUGCCCAUUCUCAACGAUUGAAGACCAUCGACUGAAGACUCAUCGGCAAACCAAUCGUUCUUCGCCGGCAGCGCCUCCAGCUCCGGCAAAGACCCACUUCCAGAGGUACGCUACUCUUUCAAUUGGGUUAUUCUCUUAAUCCUUCUUCUUACAGGUCGUGGGCUGAAGCUCUUCAUCAUUUUCUAUUAAUUCUUUUCCUACUUUCUUGAAAGGUUGGAUCAUAUCGCAAUUCAUUGUCCUGGGUUGAGGAUUCAAUGUGGCUAGUCAGAUGCAGAAGCACCUUCAAGCAUUAGGCCCCAAUUUACUAAGAACUGGACCUCCGUAAGCCAGAAUGUUAAACUAGGUGGGGUUAUGGGAUCUUUGGAAUCCACUCCAUUGCAACUUUUGGAUGUCAGAGGGGAUGAUGGUAUUGCUGAGUUAAUCAAACUCUAUAUCUCCUUGGAUGAAUAGAUCAGGUUAGAUGCAGUAGAUAUUGAUUAUGAGAAUGAAGUUGAUGGAGAGAUGUUGAAAAUCUUAGCAGCUCAUCAUGCUGAUCUUUUCAAUUUAGGUGGUUUACAGUGACUAGAAAUGGUCUAUGAGUUACAUUAUCAGGAAGUAACAGUCAUUUUUUACAGUCAUUUGUUCGAUAACAACUUCACAUUAGCUCUUAGGUUGCAGCUCAGAGAUCCUUUUCGUGACUUUGAAAUGGUUGGAUCAUCAAUGCUUGCUCUGGCUCAAGUUGAAAGAAUUUGUAUUCCUGUGCAUGCCGAAAUGCACAACACAAAAUAGAGAAACGGAUUUGAGCAACGAAAAGGAUGAUCUGAAUGAAGAGUUUGUUAUGGAAGGAACCAGUGCUGAAGAAAAUCAUAAGUGCAUCAAUGCACCAUUCAUCUGUCUGUUUAAAAUCUCUGGUGUCCAUGUCACAAGUUUUAAUGUUGAGCCAAAUGGUAGGGGCAUGUUAAUUGAUCCUAGACAGCUACAGUCUGGGUCUCGAUGGUUGCUUUCUAGUGGUAUGAAUAGGACAAGCAAGCAUCCUUUUCCCAUGUCCAAUCAAAAUCAUCCAUUUUCUGACACACACAAUGAUUUGUAUUGAA